GAUGAACGCUGGCGGCGUGCCUAAUACAUGCAAGUCGAGCGAACAGACGGGGAGUUUCCUCUUCUGACGAGUGCCGCACGCGGGUGUGUCACAUGUGUAUCCCCCACCUAUGCGACUGGGAUCACUUCGGAACACCAGCUCUUAUCCCAUGUCAUCUAUUAAUCCGCGUUGUUCGUUUAUAAGAGGCAGCUUUUCUGUCACUAAUAGGUGCUUCCGCGCCGCAUUUGCUAGUUGGUAAGAUAACGGCUUAACAAGGCGACGAUGCGUAGCCGACCUGAGAGGGGGAUCGGCCACACUGGAACUGAGACACGGUCCAGACUCCUACGGGAGGCAGCAGUAGGGAAUCUCCCGCAAUGGGCGAAAGCCUGACGGAGCAAGCCCGCGUGAGUGAUGAAGGUCUUCGGAUCGUAAAACCCUGUUAUUGGGGAAGAACAAAUGUGGAAGGAAAUAUGCACGUCUUGACGGUACCUUAUCAGAAAGCCACGGCUAACUACGUG
rnacentral:rRNA from 1 species